AGAAUCAACGCUGGCGGCGUGCCUAACACAUGCAAGUCGCACGAGAAAGUGGAGCAAUCCACGAGUAAAGUGGCGCACGGGUGAGUAACACGUGAAUAAUCUACCUCCGAGUGGGGAAUAACUGAGAGAAAUCUUAGCUAAUACCGCAUAAUACCCACGGGUCAAAGCAGCAAUGCGCUUGGAGAGGAGUUCGCGGCCGAUUAGCUAGUUGGCGGGGUAAUGGCCCACCAAGGCGAUGAUCGGUAUCCGGCCUGAGAGGGGCGCGACGGAACGACGACCUGGAACGUGAAACACGGUCCAGACUCCUACGGGAGGCAGCAGUGGGGAAUUUUGCGCAAUGGGGGAAACCCUGACGCAGCAACGCCGCGUGGAGGAUGAAAUCCCUUGGGAUGUAAACUCCUUUCGAUAGGGAAGAUAAUGACGGUACCUACAGAAGAAGCCCCGGCUAACUUCGUGCCAGCAGCCGC
rnacentral:rRNA from 1 species